CGCGUAGGCGGCGUGACAAGUCAAUUGUGAAAUCUCCGGGCUUAACUCGGAACGGUCAAUUGAUACUGUUGUGCUAGAGUACAGAAGGGGCAAUCGGAAUUCUUGGUGUAGCGGUGAAAUGCGUAGAUAUCAAAAGGAACACCUGAGGUGAAGACGGGUUGCUGGGCUGAUACUGACGCUGAGGCGCGAAGGUGCGGGGAGCAAACA
rnacentral:rRNA from 1 species